AGGAUUUUUAUUUUUAUUUUUUACUUUUUUUAGUAUCUGAUACUCUGCAGUUUCGUGUAAAUUACAAUCAGUGUUUUUGCUUGGCAAAAUAAUUAUCGUUAAUCUAAUUUAAGUAGGAUUGACAAUUAACUCUUUGUAAUGAAAGUUUUGAGAGAGAAUUAAGUGGCUUUAAUUUACUGUGAUAGAUGAUCUAAUGGUUACUUUUAUUUUAUUUUAUUUUUUUGAUAAAUUUGAUUUAUGCAGCAUGUUGCUUGAUAAAUAGUUGUUGAUAUUAAAAUACUGUAAAUGAUUAAUGGUAUUGAUCUAUUCGUGAAAUUUUGGUAUUAAAUUGAAUGAAAUGUAAAUAUUGGUGCAGGUGAAAAUGUUGUUACGGGGUUCUACUUCAAGUUCAGUUGAAGCAUCCAUUUCUUUUGCUUCCAAUCAUGCUAACACGUGGCGGAAUUGUUCAGAAUGUGGUGGAAUUUCUAAGGAUGGAUCGGACUUAUUGACUGUUUGCAAUAUGUGUGUGAAUUCUGGACCAAAUCUUUUGUCCAAGCGAAGAAAGUUUCAGAAAAAUUCUGUUAUUGUAUUUCCGGGCCAGCUAGACACAGGUGAAGUGUUGAAGGGUCCUUUAGAAACUCGAAUUGAGCAUCAAAGUAGUGUUGUUAUUCCUCCUGUUGUCGCAAAGGCGUGCUCUUCGGACUGUGGUGCUUUUGAUCAUCCACAAAGGCUUCGUGGCGAUCCUUGUUUAGAAGUUAAAUGUUCUUUGAAUUCUGGGGUUGAUUCUAAAUAUCAAAUUGUAACUUGUAAUAAACAGCUUAGUUUUGAUAACAAGCCUUCAACGAAGCCAGAGACGGAGGUGGUAGAUGAAGAUCUCUCAAUACGGGAGAUAUAUUUUUCUGUUCUAAAAAAUUAUGGUGGAAAUGCAGCUGGAGGAGUUUGCUCGGUAAGAAGUAGUGCUUCUGCAGAAGAUUUGAGAGCUUUUAUGGAAAGAAGUGUUGAGUCUUGUAAGCUGUGUGGCAAUUCAGAUGAUACACGAAAUAUGUUACUUUGUGAUCAUUGUGAUGAGGCAUUUCAUGCAUCUUGCUGCAAUCCCAAAAUAAAGAUACUGCCAAUUGACGAUUGGCUUUGCUAUCGUUGUUCAAAAUUUAAUGAUGCAGCUUCACGGGAGAAUUCUUCGAGGAAAUUGCCAGGCAUUGGUGGUUGGAGAAAUGGGAUACCUAGAUUUGAAAUGGGGCCAAUAGCAUUAAUGUUGAAAUACCCUGAGCCAUAUAGGUCUCGUGUUAGAAUUGGCCAAGCUUUUCAAGCAGAAGUUCCUGACUGGCCUGAUCGAAUUUCCAGUGAUGCUGAUAGCAUUGGUGAGCCAUUGGAACUGGAGCCAGCCAAGGUUGUUCCUUCAGCUGUAAGGAGAAAGUUUUCCAAGCUCAGUUACAUGAGUAACUGGCUUCAAUGUCAAGAAAUUCGUUAUGAUACAAGAGAAUGUACUGAAGGAACCAUAUGUGGAAAAUGGCGCAGGGCACCACUUUUUUCAGUUCAAACUGAUAACUGGGAUUGUUCUUGCGCUGUACUUUGGGACCCAACCCACUCUGACUGUGCUGUCCCUCAGUGUGACCAACUUGAUAGUGCUCUGUCUAUCCAUGAAGAACUGUCUGGAAAUAUACUGAUUUUUAUCCUUUAUGUUCUCUCCAGGAGCGUGAUACAGAUGAAAUUUUAAGUCAUCUAGCGUAUGUGGAGCUGCUGAGAGGUGACAUUGCAAUUGGGAGGAAAAAAAAUUUGAAAUAGCACUUGUGAAUGUUGUCACCCAGAAUUCAUCUUAACUGCACAGCACACAUAUCUCUGUAUACAAGAAUACAGUUGGGUACUUAUACAAGAACUAUAUUAUCAUACAUCUAUAUUGCACAGCUCUAGUUUCCAACAAAUCACAUCGCCAUCUGGUGCAAUUUCUGUAAUUGUUGUGGUUUGAACUUUAUCUGUCCUUGUGUUAUAUGUUGUAAAAUUAAUUUUUUCAUCACCUAGCUUUGGUGAUCACCCUUUCGUUUCGGAUGUAAUGAUUGUAUUAAAAAUACUUAAUGUUUUCCAUAAUUAGAGACUGUGCCUAAUGUUCCUCA